GGGGCUUGGACUUGGAGCGUGCUGGCUUAACCGUCGGCUCCUCUUAAAAUGCAUUAGCGAAAAUCUCUUUGACUUUUCGGUCAUCAGUGUGAUAAUACGUCUCGCUGUUGCCUGGGUUGAAGUUCGCUUACAAUGGUCCGAAAGGGACAACACUUACCAAUUUUGACCUCAAAUCAGGUAGGACUACCCGCUGAACUUAA
rnacentral:misc_RNA from 1 species